GUAGCGGCGGACGGGUGAGUAACACGUGGAUAACCUACCUAUAAGACUGGGAUAACUUCGGGAAACCGGAGCUAAUACCGGAUAAUAUUUUGAACCGCAUGGUUCAAAAGUGAAAGACGGUCUUGCUGUCACUUAUAGAUGGAUCCGCGCUGCAUUAGCUAGUUGGUAAGGUAACGGCUUACCAAGGCAACGAUGCAUAGCCGACCUGAGAGGGUGAUCGGACACACUGGAACUGAGACACGGUCCAGACUCCUACGGGAGGCAGCAGUAGGGAAUCUUCCGCAAUGGGCGAAGGCCUGACGGAGCAACGCCGCGUGAGUGAUGAAGGUCUUCGGAUCGUAAAACCUCUGUUAUUAGGGAAGAACAUAUGUGUAAGUAACUGUGCACAUCUUGACGGUACCUAAUCAGAAAGCCACGGCUAACUACGUGCCAGCAGCCGCGGUAAUACGUAGGUGGCAAGCGUUAUCCGGAAUUAUUGGGCGUAUAAGCGCGCGUAGGCGGUUUUUUAAGUCUGAUGUGAAAGCCCACGGCUCAACCGUGGAGGGUCAUUGGAAACUGGAAACUUGAGUGCAGAAGUAGGAAAGUGGAAUUCCAUGUGUAGCGGUGAAAUGCGCAGAGAUAUGGAGGAACACCAGUGGCGAAGGCGACUUUCUGGUCUGUAACUGUACGCUGAUGUGCGAAAGCGUGGGGAUCAAACAGGAUUAGAUACCCUGGUAGUCCACGCCGUAAACGAUGAGUGCUAAGUGUAGGGGGUUUCCGCCCCGUAUGCUGCAGCUACGCAUUAAGCACUCCGC
rnacentral:rRNA from 1 species